AUGUACCUGACGAGUCUCAAAUGGGACGAAACAUGCGUCCUGAAU
rnacentral:hammerhead_ribozyme from 1 species